UGCCAGCCGCCGCGGUAAUACGGAGGGUGCAAGCAUUAAUCGGAUUUAUUGGGCGUAAAGAGCGUGUAGGCGGGAAUGUAAGUCGAGCGUGAAAGACCUCAGCUUAACUUAGGGAACACACUUGAAACUAUGUUUCUUGAGGAUAGAUGGAGAAAGUGGAAUUCCACGUGUAGCGGUGAAAUGUGUAGAUAUGUGGAAGAAUACCGGUGGCGAAGGCGACUUUCUAAUUUAUUCCUGACGCUGAGACGCGAGAGCAAGGGGAGCAAACCGGAUUAGAUA
rnacentral:rRNA from 1 species